CGCGAGUGCCUGAGCAAGCGCGGGCACCGAGUCACGUUCGCCCCUCCGAGGGAUGCUAGCUAGCCCCUUUCCCAGCAAAUCCAAGUACCUCUCUCAUCAGCUGGCACUAUUAAAAGAAGGGCUCAAAUCUUGCCGAUGAUAUUUUGGUGUUGUCUGGAAGGUACCAAUAUAUCUGAGGAUGAAGAAGGGCUUGUUGUGCAGGCUUAAAGGGGUGAUAUAACUCAGUAUGCAGGGUUCACAAUCACCUGGCUACUAUGGGAAAUGCAGCCAUUUUAAAGGCAUCCUGUGGUUGUCAGUAAUGUUGUUUCCAUUUCCCCAAAUCCAAUGGUGCUCAGGGUGAUGAAAGUGAAGUAAAAGCCUUCUCCAUAGCUCCAGCCUUCUACAUAACUGAAGACUAAUGGCGGGAACACUAGAAAAAGCAAAGUCCCAGUGGACAGGAAGAUGGCCACUGCCAGUGUUUGAACCACCUGAAAGAUAAAGCGAAGAUGGCAGCUAAGCAGCAUGGAGCAGUUGUCUUGUUGAAAUUGCUGGGUCUGUUUUUUUCUUGAAUCACAAACCCACUCCAGCUGGGAGCAGCGGCAAAAAAAGGAAGGAUAAGCCAAUGCUUCCAAGCACUGCA